ACCUACGGGUGUCAGCAGUUAUUAAUAUUUUUCAAUGUGCUAGAUCCUGAACCAGCCAAGUCGCGUGAGGGAGUACUGCCCUAUGGGUUGUAAACCUCUUUUGUCGGGGAGCAAAAGCCGGACGUGUCCGGCUGUGAGAGUACCCGAAGAAAAAGCAUCGGCUAACUCCGUGCCAGCAGCCGCGGUAAUACGGAGGAUGCGAGCGUUAUCCGGAUUUAUUGGGUUUAAAGGGUGCGCAGGCGGAUUUUUAAGUCAGCGGUCAAAUCGUGGGGCUCAACCCCAUCCAGCCGUUGAAACUGGGGAUC
rnacentral:rRNA from 1 species